rnacentral:rRNA from 1 species
CGUGAGAUGUUGGGUUAAGUCCCGCAACGAGCGCAACCCUUAUUGUCAGUUGCCAUCAUUAAGUUGGGCACUCUGGCGAGACUGCCGGUGACAAACCGGAGGAAGGUGGGGAUGACGUCAAAUCAUCAUGCCCCUUAUGACCUGGGCUACACACGUGCUACAAUGGACGGUACAACGAGUCGCUAACUCGCGAGGGCAAGCUAAUCUCUUAAAGCCGUUCCCAUUCGGAUUGCAGGCUGCAACUCGCCUGCA